rnacentral:rRNA from 1 species
UACGUAGGCAGCGAGCGUUGUUCGGAGUUACUGGGCGUAAAGGGUGUGUAGGCGGUUGUUUAAGUUUGGUGUGAAAUCUCCCGGCUCAACUGGGAGGGUGCGCCGAAUACUGAGCGACUAGAGUGCGGGAGAGGAAAGUGGAAUUCCUGGUGUAGCGGUGAAAUGCGUAGAUAUGCGGAGGAACACCGAUGGCGAAGGCAAUCCCCUGGGCCUGCACUGACGCUGAGGAGCGAAAGCAUGGGGAGCGAACAGG